CCCAGCCCAUACGGGCUGGGCUAACGUCUGCCGCGCCCACAGCGCU
rnacentral:sRNA from 1 species